CGUCACUUCCGCUCGCCUGGCUCCGCCUCCAUCCCAGGACUUGUCACGUGAGUCCGAGUUUGCGCAAAGCAUCGUAUCCUGGCGGGAGCGGACCCCGGGGUGGGGGGUCACGCGCCGCUAUCCCCGCUAGGCAAGCGCGACCCCUCCCCGCCGUGCCAGUGCUGUGGAGCGACGUGAGGCUUGACGAGGCAGCGCUAAUGCCGAGAUGGACAGGCGUCUUGGGACCUCCUCUGUAUCUGAGGUGUAAGCUGUGUGGGACUGAAGGCCUGAGUCCAGCACUCCCAGGGCAUCACUUUCUUGUGCCUAUGGAUGCUAAUCGAGGUCCAGGACCCUACUGCACCAGAUGCUAUGCAGACAGAGUAAGAAGACAGUGUCUACCCCAAAUAGCUCAUCAUAUCAUGACAAAGACAAAAAAAAAAAGGCAGAUGAAAAGCAAAUUGGUUGGAGGGAACGACAACAAGAAAAGGUAACAGGCAACACUCAGACUUCCUUCAGCAGCUCCAGCCCCAACCUUAACCUGAUUGACGGAUGGCUACUAACUCCAGCCGUGAGAUUAUGUCCUGCCACAAGCUACAUGGUCUCUGCACCAAUGGAACACCGUAAGGUCUCAGUGGGAAAAUGCAGGGAGUUCUAUUUUUCCUACUAAAGAACCAUGCAACAAGAGAACAUGUAUAAGAUAGACUGGAAAAAUGGCACAAUGGUAUCACCUGAGUUUCAUCCAAUAUGGCCUCAGAAAAUGUACUGUAUUGACAUGUGCCAUAAUAUGUUCAAAACUAUCAAGGAGAAUGUUUCUGGAUAGUAGUAGCUCAUACCAGUUACAACCUGGUACCUAUGCAAGUAUUACUGUGCCAACUACUGGCACCUUUUGGAAACAGUGAAAGCAAGACAAUGGAGUUGCAAAAACUCAACAAGCUAUUUUGAACAGCGAUAAACAAGAACACUGUGGGGCUGAAUCCAGCUGACCCACUACACCCUUUCACAGGCAAGAAGCCAGUCAACCCACUAUGCUAACAUUUUCACUUGACCCAGGUGACUUAACAGAUAGCAGCUCCAAUUAGCUCAGUCCAGCUAUUAAAGAUAUUAAAGCAUCAAAUGCAAUCCUCCCCAUUUAUUAAAGUGGCUUUGAAAAUUAAAUGGUUUCAGAUGAGAUCAGCUACAGUGGAACAUAUAUAUCAGUGCACCAAAUCCUCCUCUGCAACCCAGAUUUUGAUGUGCUAAUUCAAACUCUAAAAAGACUACCUUAUUAUUCCUGCUACUCUGCAGCCCCUCCAUAAGCAUGCAGAGACAAGGCAGGUGGCAGGUAAAAUCUUGGCAGCUGCUUUUGCAUUCAAAGUAUAUUUUAAAACAGUGGUUCUUAACCUUUACUGCAGCCCGCACCCCCCUUUGGUUCUCAAAAUAUGUUCUCGCACCCCUUAUCAAAAAUCAAAAUGUUCUCACACCCCUUAAACCUAUAUAUAGUUUGUAUAUUACAGUAAUUAUUAAAAAAUGUAUGUUAAUAAAUACAUAGAUUUGAUGAAAUAAAGCAGUUGUACUUACUGCCUGUGCUUAAUUUGUGUUUUCGAUGAUUUACCUUCUAAAAAAAUCUGGCAUGUCUUGCACCCCCAGAAAGGGCAUCUCAAAGCCCCAAUGGGUGUAUGCACCCCAUGUUAAGAACCACUGAUUUAGAAUUUCAAGUUAUUUGAAAUAGAAAACUAAAGUACAAAUUGUGAGUUUAAUUCUUAACAACAACAAAUAAAAUACACACUAGCUUCUAUAUACUCAGGCGGCAUCCCUGAACUAAAUAAACUUCUUAGUUCCUUGAAGAAAAGGAUAAAGCCAAAGAAAAGGCCAAGUCUGUUUUACCUUCAUUUGCACCUGAGACACUUUCCUGCCCCUAGAAGGGAAGCGAGGGGCACUGUCCUCUUUCCCUUCUAUUGCUUAGAAAAUUAAGGGGGAAAAUAAUUCUCCCAUUAUGCUUUUACUACACUUUUUUUAAAGUAAAACAAGAGUGAAUUUAGGGUGACAAGCUGUCCAAUUUUAUAGGGACAGUCCUGAUAUUUGGGUUUUUUUCCCCUAUAUAGGCACCUAUUACCACCCUCGUCCCAAUUUUUCACAUUUGCUAUCUGGUCACCCUAAGUGCAUUUCAUAUUGGUGAGAUACUAUAACCCAGAGCUAUGGAAGUUUAGCUGCACAACUCAAAAACCAAUGAGAGGGAACUCCCCAGGCCAAGACAGGUAGCCUUAAUCUUUUACUAAUAAUUCAGGUCCGUUCUGGGAAUCUAACCAGAGAUGCCAACUAUCAUACAGUCUUCAUGGCACCUUGACUUACAACCAAGUCACUGCACAUAGUAAGUAUCUUACAGGUGUUUACUCACUAUCAAUCCAGAUCAGAUUUGAAUGAAUGACAGAGAUAGUAACUGCAAUAACACUUAAUCCUCCAAGUCAAACUCCCUGUUUUACUAAUUCAUUUCUAAUGUUUAAACUCAGGGAACGUUAUGUAUUUACUCAUUUUAGUACUGGGAAUCCAUAAUUUUUCUGGGGUCUCAUAAAAGGCCAGCUAAGGGGAAACAGCAGUUUAAAAGUUAGGCCUCAUCUUCACUGGCAAGUUCGUGCUCAGUAAAGCAGCUUUAUGCAGUGUAACUCCCGAGGUGUACACACUGCCAAAUCACUUAGUGCACAGAAACGGCAAAGUAUCAGCGCUGUGAAAGAACCACCCCGAUGAGAGGUGUACAUAUUUCUGCGCCAGAGCUACAGUGCCGCGGUGCCAGUGUAGACAUCCUGGUCGAUUACAGCACUUCAACUGGCCUCCGGGAGGUGUCCCACAAUGCCUGUUCUCACCUCUCUGGUCAUGGGCUUGAACUCUACUGCCCUGCCCUCAGGUGACCCACUGUGAGCCCCACCCCUUAAAUUCCCUGGGAAUUUUGGAAUUCCCCUUCCUGUUUGCUCAGUGAUGCAUUCAGUGGUCGCAGCGCAUCUUUCCAGGUGACCAUGCCUGCUCCACACACCAGGCGAUCCCCGCUUGGAGCCAUGCCAAGCUGCUGGACCUCAUCAGCAUUUGGGUUGAGGAGGCUGUCCAGUCCCAGCUGCGAUUCAGCCAUAGAAAUUAUGAUACCUACAUACAGGUUUCAUGAUGCAUUACAGAAAGGGGCCACGACCGGGACACACGGCAGCGCAGGGUCAAAGUGAAGGAGCUCCGGAACGCCUACCACAAGGCACAGGAGGCAAACCACUGCUCUGGUGCUGCGCCCACGAGCUGCCAGUUCUACAAAGAGCUGGACGCGAUACUUGAUGGCAACCCCACGUCCACUGCGAAGGCCAAUGUGGAUACUUCAGUGGCUCACAUGCCAGUCGAGAGUGGACUGAGGCAGGAGGAGGAAAUCUUGGAUGAGGAUGUGGAGGGGGACCCAGAGGCAGAGAUGCAUGCAGCCAGGAGCUCUUCUCUACCCCGGAGGCUAGCCAGUCACAGCUGUCGAAGCUUGGCAAAGUGCAAACAGGAGAGGAGGCCCCUGCUUCACAGAUAUGACAAUGGGAGCCCAGCCUCCCUCUUUGUUAUCGCUGUCUGAACGGCUGCACAGAAUUAGAAAGCAACCACAAAGAAUUAAAGACGACUUUCUGUGUGAUCUCAUAAUGCACACCGCUGCCGAAAAACAAGAAUUGAAGGAGUGGUGGGAUAGCGAGAAGAGGGACUGAAAGGAGAACGCGGUGCACCAGAACGAAUCCACGGAGCAGCUCUUAAAUGUUAUGAAGCACCAAGCGGACACGCUCCAGGCACUGAAAACCAAGCAGCUUCGCGCCCGUCCUCUUCUGCAGCCACUGUCGCAAAACUCUUUCCCAUGCACCCCCCAAACUCCACCAACAUGCUCUUAUCAACCUCCUGGCUCCAGUCUGUACCCACUUCAUUCCACUCUUGCUCCAUCACAGUCCAGCCCUGAGGACUCUCAGUACCCAGUGCACUCAACACCCGUCCCUCUGCAGUUUAGCCCUGCAGAGGUACAGUACCCGCUGCACUGUACUCCAAAGGACAAAGGUGCAUAUAAUACCUGGACAUACACAAAUUUUUAACCAUAUCCCAGGACCCCAACUCCUCCUCCCUUCCCCAUCCCCCACAGUGCUGGUGUGUUUUUUGGUCUCUCCCCUCCAGUGGUUGUUUUUUAAUAAAAGAAUUGUUUUGGUUUGAAAACAAUCUUUAUUCCAUUAAUUGAAAGCAAACAGAGCCGUGCAAAGCAACAGGCAAUUUUCUUAAACCUUCCUAGUGCAUCAUCUGCACCAAUCACAAUCACCUCCUAGCAUUACAAGCACUGCACUCCCAAGCACAGCAACAAACAUUAGUGGCUUUCAGCUUCAAAUUGCUGCCUCAGGGCAUCCCAGAUCCUUACGGCCUGCGCUGUGCCCUUCUAAUAGCCCUGGUCUCUGGCUGUUCACACUCAGCCUCCAGGCACUGAGCCUCAGCAGUUCAGCCCUGAAUGAAGCUUUCACCCUUCCCUUCACAAAUAUUAUGGAGCGUAAAGCACGCAGCUAUAAGCAUAGGAAUAUUGUCAUUGGGCAGACUGUCAUUGACAGUCUCUCAUACAGGUAAUGCCUGUGGGCCUUUAAAAGGCCAAAAGCACACAACAGUCAUUCUGCACUUGCUCAGCCUGUUGUUGAACCACUCCUUGCUGUUGUCAAGGUGCCCCAUGUAUGGCUUCAUAAGCCACAGCAUUAAGGGGCAGGCAGGGUCUCCCAGGAUCACGAUGGGCAUUUCGACUUCCCCUAUGGUGACCUUCUGGUCUGGAAAGAAAGUCCACUUGCAGCUUCCUGAACAGGCCAGUGUUCGAAAUGAUGCAUGCACCACGCACCUUUCUGGACCAGCCUGUGUUAAUGUCUGUGAAACACCGUGAUUCACAAGCACCUGGAGAACCAUAGAAAAAUACCUCUUCCAAUUAAUGCAGCAGCUCUCAUUUUACUGGUGACCCCUUUCACAUAGGAAGCCUCUGAGGGUGACCCCACCCCCUUAUAAAUUAAAAACACUUUUUUAUAUAUUUAACACCAUUAUAAAUGCUGGAAGCAAAGAAGGGUUUGGGGUGGAGGUUGACAGAUCGUGACCCCCCAUGUAAUAACCUCAUGACCCCCUGAGGGGUCCCAACCCCCAGUUUGAGAACCCCUGAAUUAAUGUAUUCGGUGUCUAGGUCAUCUGGUGCCAGAAUUGGAAUGUGUGCGCCAACUAUCACCCCUCUGCAGUUAGGGAAGCCCAUUUGUGCAAAGCCAUCCACGUCUCACACGUUGCCAGAGUCUCAGUCUUUCGGAGCAGGAUGCGAUUAAUGGCCCUGGACACUUCCGUCAACACAAGUCCAGCAGUCAACUUUCCCACUCUGAACCGGUUAUUGACCGAUCGGUAGCAGUCUGGAACAGCCGGCUUCCACAGUGCAAUUGCCACGUGCUUCUCCAAAGAUAGGGCAGCUCUCAUUCUUGUGCCUUUGUGCUGCGGCAAGCUCAUCACACAGUCCCAUGAACGUGGCUUUCCUCAUCCGAAAGUUCUGCAGCCACUGCUCAUCAUCCCAGAUGUGCAUGAUGAUGUGAUCCCACCACUCAGUGCUUGUUUCCCCGAGCCCAAAAGCGGUAUUCCACUGUGGUCAGCCCCUCCGUGAAUGCCACAAGCAAUCUCAUGUCGUAGCUACUACGCAUGGCGAGAUCAAUGUAGAACUCCUCUUGCCUUUGUAGUUUACGGAACAACUCCAUUGCCACUCUUGACAUGUUAGUGAGAGCGAGCAGCAUAUUGGUCAACAGUGCAGGAUCCAUUUCUGCAGACCAAAGGGGCAAAAGCACACAGUACACAAACCAUUGAAAGAUGGCGCCAAAUGCAGAAGCAAGCACAGGGAUUGCUGGGAUGUGAAGCAAUGCAUCACAGAGUACUGGAACAGGACCGAGGAUGCCCUGUGACUCCCUCCGCCUUCCCACAAUUCUUAGCAGCAGAAGAGGAAGAGAUGCUCUGUGGGAUAGCUGCCCAGAGUGCGCUGCUCUGAAUACCACUGCAAAUGCCACAAGUGUGAACAUGCUAUUGCGCAGACAGCUGACAGUGUGAACAAAACAACAGUGGUUUCCCUUCAGCGCUCUCUGAGCGGCAAUGUAACUCUGCCAAUGUAGACAUACCCGUAGAUUUUAUUUGAUAGUGUGUAAAACUGUAUCAGAGGGGUAGCCGUGUUAGUCUGGAUCUGUAAAAGCAGCAAAGAGUCCUGUGGCACCUUAUAGACUAAAAGACGUCUUGGAGCAUGAGCUUUCGUGGGUGAAUACCCACU